AUUGAACGCUAGCGGGAUGCCUUACACAUGCAAGUCGAACGGAGUGGCGAAAGGGUGAGUAAUGUAGCGGAACGUGCCCAGUAGCGGGGGAUAAAUACGCGAAAGCGUAGCGAAUACCGCAUAACAUUGGAGCGGCGGUUAUCGGGUUAGCUAGUUGGUGGGGUAAAGGCACACCAAGGCGACGACCCGUAGCUGGUUUGAGAGGACGACCAGCCACACUGGGACUGAGACACGGCCCAGACUCCUCCGGGAGGCAGCAGUGGGGAAUUUUGGACAAUGGGGGAAACCCUGAUCCAGCCAUCCCGCGUGUGCGAUGAAGGCCUUCGGGUUGUAAAGCACUUUUGGCAGGAAAGCGGUACCUGCAGAAUAAGCACCGGCUAACUACGUGCCAGCAGCCGCGGUAAUUC
rnacentral:rRNA from 1 species